rnacentral:rRNA from 1 species
CAGCCGCCGCGGUAAUACCGGCGGCCCGAGUGGCGGCCGUGUUUAUUGGGCCUAAAGGGUCCGUAGCCGGCCCCGUAAGUCUCCCGGGAAAUCGGGCGGCUCAACCGUCCGCUUCCGGGAGAUACUGCGGGGCUAGGGACCGGGAGAGGCCGGGGGUACUCCCGGGGUAGGGGUAAAAUCCUAUAAUCCCGGGGGGACCACCUGUGGCGAAGGCGCCCGGCUGGAACGCGUCCGACGGUGAGGGACGAAGGCCAGGGGAGCAAACCGGAUUAGAUACCCGGGUAGGCCUGGCGGUAAACGAUGCGGACGUUGUGUCGGACAAGCUAUGAGCUUGUCCGGUGCCGGAGGGAAACCGUUAAGUCCGCCGCCUGGGGAGUACGGCCGCAAGGCUGAAACUUAAAGGAAUUGGCGGG